UAGGGAAUCUUCCACAAUGGACGAAAGUCUGAUGGAGCAACGCCGCGUGAGUGAUGAAGGGUUUCGGCUCGUAAAACUCUGUUGUUGGAGAAGAACAGGUGAUAGAGUAACUGUUAUCAUCUUGACGGUAUCCAACCAGAAAGCCACGGCUAACUACGUGCCAGCAGCCGCGGUAAUACGUAGGUGGCAAGCGUUGUCCGGAUUUAUUGGGCGUAAAGCGAGCGCAGGCGGUUUUUUAGGUCUGAUGUGAAAGCCUUCGGCUUAACCGGAGAAGGGCAUCGGAAACCGGGAGACUUGAGUGCAGAAGAGGACAGUGGAACUCCAUGUGUAGCGGUGAAAUGCGUAGAUAUAUGGAAGAACACCAGUGGCGAAGGCGGCUGUCUGGUCUGUAACUGACGCUGAGGCUCGAAAGCAUGGGUAGCGAACAGGAUUAGAUACCCUGGUAGUCCAUGCCGUAAACGAUGAGUGCUAAGUGUUGGAGGGUUUUCCGCC
rnacentral:rRNA from 1 species